rnacentral:misc_RNA from 1 species
GAUGAAGAACGCAGCGAAAUGCGAUAAGUAGUGUGAAUUGCAGAAUUCAGUGAAUCAUCGAAUCUUUGAACGCACAUUGCGCCCCUUGGUAUCCCGAGGAGCAUGCCUGUUCGAGCGUCAUUUCACCACUCAAGCCUGGCUUGGUGUUGGGCGACGUCCCCUUUGGGGACGCGCCUCGAAACGCUCGGCGGCGUGGCACCGGCUUUAAGCGUAGCAGAAUCUUUCGCUUUGGAAGUCGGGGCCCCGUCUGCCGGAAGACCUACUCGCAAGGUUGACCUCGGAUCAGGCAGGGAUACCCGCUGAACUUAAGCAUAUCAAUAAGCGGAGGA